GGGGUUACAUAAUACCUUGGCAGGUAUGAUACUUUGUAUAAGAAGGCCCAGGGAAGCCUUGCUGAUAAGGUGGCAUUUAAGCUGAGACCUGAUGGAAGUUUGGGAGAAAGCCAAGCUGAUCUCUGCAGAGCACGGGUGGCAUCUUUGAGCAACAGCAAGAUUUCCUGUUAUGGAAUUAAUUCAAGUUCCUUCCGGUCAGAUCACUAUCCUGGCAGCACCUCUGGUAGAGGACUCAUUGCUAGACACACCA
rnacentral:lncRNA from 10 species